rnacentral:rRNA from 1 species
UAAUACAGAGGGUGCAAGCGUUAAUCGGAAUUACUGGGCGUAAAGCGUGCGUAGACGGUUAUUUAAGUCGGAUGUGAAAUCCCCGGGCUCAACCUGGGAAUUGCAUUCGAAACUGGAUGGCUAGGGUGCGGAAGAGGGAAGCGGAAUUUCCGGUGUAGCGGUGAAAUGCGUAGAUAUCGGAAGGAACACCAGUGGCGAAAGCGGCUUCCUGGUCCAGCACCGACGUUCAGGCACGAAAGCGUGGGGAGCAAACAGG